AUUGAACGCUGGCGGCAUGCUUUACACAUGCAAGUCGAACGGUAACAGGCCUUCGGGUGCUGACGAGUGGCGAACGGGUGGGUAAUGCAUCGGAACGUACCCAGAGGUGGGGGAUAACGCAGCGAAAGCUGUGCUAAUACCGCAUGUGAUCUGAGGAUGAAAGCGGGGGACCGAGCAGCAAUGUUUGGCCUCGCGCCUUUGGAGCGGCCGAUGUCGGAUUGGCUAGUUGGUGGGGUAAAGGCCUACCAAGGCGACGAUCCGUAGCUGGUCUGAGAGGACGACCAGCCACACUGGGACUGAGCCACGGCCCAGACUCCUACGGGAGGCAGCAGUGGGGAAUUUUGGACAAUGGGCGCAAGCCUGAUCCAGCAAUGCCGCGUGCGGGAAGAAGGCCUUCGGGUUGUAAACCGCUUUUGGCAGGAACGAAACGGUGUCCGCUAAUACCGGGCGCUAAUGACGGUACCUGCAGAAUAAGCACCGGCUAACUACGUG
rnacentral:rRNA from 1 species